GGGGCUCGGCCGCCCGCCCGCCGGGUCCUUCCGCCGCCGCCGGAGCUGUGCUCCGGCCCCCGCCCCGCCGCCCGCGCCCCCGGCAGCGGCUCCGCCGCCGGGUCGCUGCCCAUGUCCCAGCUCUGCUCGCCGUCCGCGCUCGCUGCCGGCACGGCCGGUGCCCGCCUCCGCUGCGGGGACGCCGCGCUUUGGAAGCCUUCCCGGAGCGCGCGGGGGUGCUGGCGCAGGUCGGGCGAUUACAUGCGGACACUUCACUUUCAGCCAUGCCUGCCCCGGGAGCUCUCUGUCUGCUGUAAUUUUCUCCCUUUGAUCUCCCUGGAUACUCUUUCGGGCUGUGGAGCUCCGCUUGCACCUACCUGCCUGCUGCGCCUGUGUGCGAGAGAGUUUUCCUCUUUCUUCUAAUACUUUUUUUUUGUCAUAAAUUCCAAUUCUAUUCUUUUUAAGACCGAACUCGAACAUCAUCAGAGCCACAUGGUUUUGUUAAGCUACUGGAAAUAACUUUUUCCUGGGAUUUACAGCAGCAUUCCCUCCCGACCCGGCCCCUGCGGACUCCAGCAGGCUCACUGCCUAACAGGUUUGCAAAGCUUUUUUUUCUUGUAUUUCCCCUUUUCUCUCCAGAGCCGUGCGAUCACUGUAACUUCAGUUAAAUCGAAAAGACUUUCUGUCUUAAUUCUCCCAGUUAUGAAGACUCAUCGAUGCGUUUCAUGUGACCUUUGGGCAGACCGUAGAGCUUUAUAUUUUAUUUUGUGGGGCCUUGAGUAGGGAUCUUCUUAACGUGUGCUUGGAAGUGGUCAUACCGGAACUCGGGCGUGCACAGAAAUAGUGCGAGAGAAACCAGAUACGCCGUAACUUUCUGCCUGAUACCUGUUGGGCUUCGUGUCUAAACUUUGGCAGUGUCUGAGGGCCUUUUUAUUUUCCUGGCAACUUCCAGCCAUGAAGAGGAGCUCUGUGUUUUAUUAAUUAUCUUUGAGAACUCUACCCGGAGUCAGACUGUGAGCAUGGAUUUCUAAGGGAAAAGUAAAGCUGAAUUCCAAACUGGAAUGAAGCACUUCUGGCAUGAGGAAGAUAGAAGGGAUCAACUCCAUUUGGAAGAGAACGGAACAAGCCUUCUUGUCACUAUAAAUUCAAGGAAUACCGCCUGCCUGAUUUCUGGGAAGGAUACCAAUUGGUGCAGAUAACAUUCAAGGUUGUGCCUAUGCUGUGGGAAAUGCUAGCAAGAAGGUGAGGUGGCUCUCGAGGGUAUUUGGGAUGGAUGUUUUGAACCUGUGGAUCUUCCUAACUCUUGGCCAGGAGACAGGAGGCCUCCACAUCCGCAGGGAGACCUCCCCGUGCCUCAUCUCCGUGGUACCGAGGAGUUCCUAAUGCUCCCUGCGUACCCAGACUGACUUCUUGCUUGCAGCCUGCUUCGCUGAUCCUUCUGGAUUUACCUGCCAGAGAAGAGACUCACAAUUUAGGAUUUUUUUUGUUUUCAGAUUGUUUGUUUAAAAUAUGCCUCUGAGCUCCCGGCGGCCUCUGAGCACGUGGCACGGGGCAAGAGGAGCGGCGAUGGCGGGAGACGGCGUCGCCGGGGAGCCGCGCUGGCGGUGACCGAGCCCCGCUCUGCGGCCCCUGGGUCUGUCCGGAGCCGGCUCGGAGCCCCGGGAGCGGUGCCGCCGGCCGGGCCCGCCGCGGUGAGGACGCGUUCCCGAGCGGUAUGAGCGGCCGGAGCCCGCUGCUGGUAGCAUGAGUGCUGGCCCCCAGGUGCAGCUGGCUGUCCUCUGGCCUUGGCUGCUCAUGGCGACCCUGCAGGCAGGACUGGGCCACACCGGGCUGGCGCUGGCGGCGGCCGUGGAGUCGGAGCGGGCGGCGGCGCAGAAAGCCAUCAUCAGGGUCAUCCCGCUCAAAGUGGAGCCCAUCAUCCUGGAAGGGGAGUUCGCCAACGUCGCCGAGGUGACUCCGGCUGAAGGGAAACUACUCCAGUCCCACCCACUAUCCCUGUGCAACACCAGUGAGGAUGAACACACAGAAUCAGGAUUCAUCACCAUCGUCAAGCUGGAACAGCCGGAUCGGGAUCCCAACCCCUGCCUGUCCCUGGCCAACAAGGCAAAGCUGGCAGGGGAGCGUGGAGCCCGUGCGAUCCUUUUCGACAUCACUGAUGAUGAAAGUGCUGCUGAUCAGCUGAGGAAGCCCAGAGGCCUGAGCCAGCCCGUGGUCCUGAUCAGGGGUCACGACGCUGAGCUCCUCAUGGGCGUUGUGAACAAGAACAGAGAGGCCCACGUGAAGAUAGAGGUCAAGGAGCCACCAACUUGGCCAGACUACGACGUGUGGAUUCUUCUCACAGUGGUCAGCACUGUGGUCGUCAUCAUUUUGAUUUUUGUUGUCCGCACAAAGUGCCAGCUGAACAGAACUCAGGACUCGGUGCAGCAGCAGACUCUGCAGGCCAUCGGGCAAUUGGCCACACGCCGCUACCAGCCCCGGGUGCGGCCGACCCCGCGCUGGGACUCGGCCAGCAGCUGCAGCUCCGCCCCGGUCUGUGCCAUCUGCCUCGAGGAGUUCAGCGAGGGGCAGGAACUGCGGAUCAUCUCAUGCUCCCACGAGUUCCAUCGGGAGUGUGUUGACCCUUGGCUGCAGCAACACCACACGUGUCCACUUUGCAUGUUCAAUAUUCUUGCCAGAGACUCAGGGGACCAGGCCAUGGCUGCCAGCUCCAGGCUGGUCCCUCAGGACAUGGAGCCUGGGCGGCGACUCCACCUUUUCCGCCAGCAUCCAGGACAUGCCCUUUACCACCUCCCACAUGCAUAUCCUCAGAGGAAUCUCAGGAGUUUUCCCCCAGAGCCAGCCCACGGCAACCCCUUCUUCCGCUCUCCAGAGCUCUCCCAGCUGGAUUUUGGCACCAUCCACUACAUGCCCUACAGACCAGCCACCUCCCUGCUGGCCUGCGGCCAUGUGGCCCCGCUGGCCCCAGCCUUGCUGGGGCAGCAGCAUCCCAACCCCUCUGCAUGCGGGCAGGCGCUGGCACCCCACAGGACAUGCCCCCUUCAGCCUCAGACCUCCUGUCUGGCACCCAAGACAGCCCUGGCACAGAAGCAGCACCGUGCACCCACCCUGCGCCGAGGGCUUGGCCACGGGCACCAGCACAACAGCAGUGGCUCUGGGGAGAGCUAUCUCACGGAGCACAGUGGGUACCUGGCCGAUGGGCCAGGCAGUGACUCCAGCUCAGGGCCCUGCCACGGCUCCUCCAGUGACUCCAUGUUGAACUGCACGGAUGUCAGCCUGCAGGGCAUACACGGCAGCUGCUCCACCUUCCGCAGUUCCCUCAGCAGUGACUACGAUCCCUUUGUGUACUGCAGCUCUGAGGGCCCCACCACGGACCACGGCCAGGAGCAGCUGCGGCCGCCCAGGGAGAGGCGGCCCCGGUCCUUGGACCUGAUGGUGCCUGGGGGGGCUGCUCCAGCCAAGCCCCAGGUGCUCAGCCACGUCCACUACCACCACCAUCAGCACCACCACUACAGGCGGGAUGCGGAGUGUCCCCCUGGGCGAGCCGGGCAGGGGCCUGGGCCACGCAAAUCCCGGUACUCUGGGGCCAAGGUUGCCUUCCACAGUGCUCGGACACAAAAGAGGACUGAGAAAAGUCAUCACUCUGAGCAGCCUCUGGAAAGCAGUGCCAUGCUGCAGGAGGCAGCUCCAGCAGGACAACCAGCUUGUCCCCAGGAAGGCUGGGAGCCCCCUCACACCCCCUCCACUUCUCCAAACAGGUUGGACUUCAGUGUAGAUGCCAACAGACAAUUGGGAGCAGCUGGCCCGCUGCCCCCCAGACACAGCUUACAGAGCAGGCAUCACCGAAGGAAAAGAAAGUGUCCCCUGGAGCCCGACCCCGUUCUCCUGCCCAAGGACUCAGCCGAGCCCCGAGCCUGUGACCCUCACCUUCCUCCUGGCCAUCCGACUGGCUUCCGCUGCUCUCCCGAAGCCCAGCCCCUGAUCCCAAGCACUCCCCUGCCCAGCGGCUCCCGGCCACUCUGGAAGUGCUUAGUGCCACAGUCCAGCUCCGAGCUGAGGAAGCAGGAGGAGGGCUUGUCAGGAUGGGAAAGAAACCGUUCAGUUCCUGCAGAUUUCUCAGGGACGGGCACCCCCAGACACAGUCUGAGUGUCCGUCUUCACUGCCCGUCUCAGCAGGGUGGUCAGGGAUCUGAAGAGGAGGUCCAGGAUGUCCAUGAACACUCAGUUUAAUAAAACACUGGUCUGUUUGCUUGCUGGGAGCUGGAGUGGACACAGCCCAUCCCUGCCUUGCUGAGACACAGACUGCCAAGAGCAACAGGCCACUCGUGGUCUCCUGACACGUCCCCACACCCUGACAGUCACACAGAGCCCUGCUCUCUGGCCCAUCUCCUCUGAAGGCACAGGCAGCCCCUCGUCAUCCCAUGGCAUCGCUCCGAGCUGGGCAGGGCUCCCAGGGAGAGCUCACCGAACACGGGAACAAGCUAUUCUCCAUCUCACCGCUCACAGGGCUGCCCUGGAAGGUGCUGCUUCUGACUUCAGUGGAAACCAAGAGCUCUCACCACUUUUGGUCACCUCAGUGUCCCUCAGCUGACGCCAUCUCCUGCCACUGUCUGUGUUUGCCAGCAGCAGGAGAGGGGAAGACAGGGACAUCAUCAUUUCUGGGAAGGAGCUGGGUCAGACUCUUUCCAUUGCAAAGAAUCCACCCUCUCAUCUGGCAAUGUGAACAAGUCUCUCACUCACCCUCUAACUCCUCCACCUACCCUCAAAUAGCUGUCAUGGCCAGCCCUGUAAAGAGCAUAUUUCAAACGUAUCUCAGAUGUCCCCAUAACAGGAGUCAUGGAAAAUCCUGGAGUUCAUGUGGAUCCUACUUCUCUCCUUCCUCUCAUUGCCCCAAGACACAGCAAAAAUUCACACAAAAGCUUCCAUAAGUGCAGAGCAGAGCCCUAUCCAUCACUCAGUCUUAACUUCAUAUUUGAAGGCUCCUGAAAUCCUUCAAGAGGAUUUUUCUGUCUUUCUAACAUUUUGAUGAUUCAAGGAGAAAAUCUGAGUAAUCAUCAGGCUCUCAUUUAUUACUUUCCCCCUCCCCAUUUAUGAGUAUUUUGGGGUUUUCUGAAUGUCACUGUUCUUAUUUCUCAUAUCUCAUAAUUUGCAGACAUUCAAGCAAAACAAAACCUGCCAAAUUCAAAACAUAUAGAACCCAUGCAGCUUUCAAACAGCAGAGAAUUCCUGUCAAGUUCAUUGCCAUAAGUGGUCAGUCAGGCCAAAAAAUCAGCCAGAUUCCCGUGUGAAGUGCACAUUUCUGUGGCCCCAAGUGCUUCUAAGUACAAGGAGGCAUUGGUGAGGAUACAACACGAACUGAAGAUAACUCCUAACAGUUUGAAACUUGAUGUAGGGACAAACUUUCCCAUCUGCUUAGUAAAGCUUCCUGUGUCUUCCUUUGAAGCAGGAGCUUCUCAAGAGAGCACUCUGGUGAUGCAGUCCCAGUUCAGGAUAAUCCUCUGCCUUCCUUUGUUGGUGGGAAAUCUUUUUACGGGGUUUGCUUCCCUUAAUCCUCAAAAAAAGCAUCUUUGUCCCAGCUGCUAAUCAGUUCCUGCCAGUCAAGUGAUCAGCCAAUAGCACUGUUUUAAACCCGGCAUUAUUCCCUUGUAGUGCUCAUUUCUUGUCUCCUGUGACCAGGCUCCUGUGGGACCUUUCAGUCUAAGGAAGAGCUGAAUUUCUUUCAUCAAAGAACCCAGCAGAAUUACAUUUAGACCUUUCCAGGCUCUUGUCUUAUAGCACAAGCAGAAGACACAAGCUCACAAGUUUUCUCCUCUGCAGAGAAAUCAGUCUUAAACUAGAGGAAAAAUCCAGGAGCAGGUCUGGAUUCACCCCAUUCAGCUUCUUGUGCUCCUGGUCCAGGGCUUUUCUGAACCAGCUCCCCAUGUCCUUGACCAUCCUGGAGGGCUCAGAGGCUUAACAGAGGGGAGGGUCAUGAAGUCGGGCUGCUCCCACUGCUGUUUUUUAGGAAUCAGGAAGGCAGGGGAUGCAUUUCACUGUUCAAACGAACAAGUGCAGCUCUAAAGGCCUCUCUUUCCCUCCUUAUGCCUAAGGAAAGAGGAGAUUCCUGAAUUAGUGAGGCACAAGCUUCUUUGGGAAAGUGGUCGGCACUUGACACUCUCUCCACUCCCCACUGCAGUAUUACCAGGCUGCCAGGGCAGCGCCUGCUUCCAAGUGUCUCCCUUUCCUGAUCUUAUGCUGCUGCUCCUGUUUACAUAAAAAAUGCUGGAGUGCAGGUCGGCCCCAGUGGGGGCUCAGCGGGGAGGAGAGGGAGGAACUCUGGGAACUUGGGUUUGAAAGAUCCUCUUCAGUAGAUGGAUGACUAUCCUUGGCUGCCUGGAAGGGAAGAAGCAGUAUCUGAGAAAAUAGGGAAUGAUUUCUCACAGUUCUUUACCUCUGGCUUCUGAGUAAUGCUUUUGAGUGCUCGGUGCCUGUGAGCUCCACCAUGAAAUUUCUCCCGCAUCCCUGCAGUGACGCAGGGCUCAUUUUCCUUCUUUGCAUCCAAAGUCACAGCCAAAAACUGAUGGAAGCCAGAGCAUUCCAAGCUCCCUCUAUCCAAACUGAAUGCCCAGCCCUUCCCCAAGGGAUCCCCUUCCCAGGAGCUCCCACCCCCUGAACUGUGCAUAUGGGCGGGCUGGCUGGAUAUCUCCCCUCCCGCACAAAUCCUUCAGAUCCUUCGGAAAUGUGAAUAUCGGUUCGUUGUUGCUUUUUGUUUCGUUUGGGGUUUUUUUGCUGAGUCUGUCCUGGCUCUCGGGGUUUGGGAAUAAAUUAUGACCCAGGGAAAAAAAAAAUAGACCACAGGCAGGAAAAAAAAAAAGAAUACGUUUUAUAUAUAUGCAAAACUGUGUAUUUAUGUCCGAUAAACACAAAGAUGUGUGAAUAUGCUGAUGUGCUCAGAAAUAUAUUUAUUUACUAAUAUAUUUAUCCAUGUA